rnacentral:tRNA from 1 species
UCCUGGUUAGCUCAGUCGGAAGAGCGCUCCACUGGAAAUGUAGAGGUCCCUGGUUUUGUUACCAGGAG